rnacentral:rRNA from 1 species
GGUGAGUAACACGNGGGUAACCUGCCUGUAAGACUGGGAUAACUCCGGGAAACCGGGGCNAAUACCGGAUGGUUGNUUGAACCGCAUGGUUCAAACAUAAAAGGUGGCUUCGGCUACCACNUACAGAUGGACCCGCGGCGCAUUAGCUANUUGGUGAGGUAAUGGCUCACCAAGGCAACGAUGCGUAGCCGACCUGAGAGGGUGAUCGGCCACACUGGGACUGAGACACGGCCCAGACUCCUACGGGAGGCAGCAGUAGGGAAUCUUCCGCAAUGGACGAAAGNCUGACGGAGCAACGCCGCGUGAGUGAUGAAGGUUUUCGGAUCGUAAAGCUCUGUUGUUAGGGAAGAACAAGUACCGUUCGAAUAGGGCGGCACCUUGACGGUACCUAACCAGAAAGCCACGGCUAACUACGUGCCAGCAGCCGCGGUAAUACGUAGGUGGCAAGCGUUGUCCGGAAUUAUUGGGCGUAAAGGGCUCGCAGGCGGUUUCUUAAGUCUGAUGUGAAAGCCCCCGGCUCAACCGGGGAGGGUCAUUGGAAACUGGGGAACUUGAGUGCAGAAGAGGAGAGUGGAAUUCCACGUGUAGCGGUGAAAUGCGUAGAGAUGUGGAGGAACACCAGUGGCGAAGGCGACUCUCUGGUCUGUAACUGACGCUGAGGAGCGAAAGCGUGGGGAGCGAACAGGAUUAGAUACCCUGGUAGUCCACGCC